UGUAAGAGAGAAUGAGACAGGCAGAGAAAGAGCUGAGAGAAAGGGAGGCGCUGCAUUACCCGGCAUACAGCAGCAGGAGCAGGCUGGGCUUAGGGAUCUAUUGUUCCCUGUUUUAUUACCGCAAGAGCUCAUUCGCACUCAUUAAGUAGCCAGGGGAAUAAGAGAAACACAGAGGGAGAGGAGAGCGUGAGGAAACCUCACCCUUGCUUGCUCAGGAUUACUUCUUGGAUGCGGUGGCGUGGACAAAGCAGAAAAUUCACUUGAGUCCCGCUCUCUACCUUGUGGCCAGGCUCACAUUUUCCUCUCGAUUGCAUUUGGAACAGCAGUAUUUGCCGUGCAGUGGCCAUGGGGAUGGCCGGCAGAGGUAUAAGGAUCCAAGAGGUCUUGAAAGGAGCCCCACUCCUCUCUCUCUGGACGUUAGUGCUGCUGUUUUUAUCCAUGUGGGAACUGGAUGCACAAACUGCAGUGGAAACUAGACCCAUGUACAUCUGGCGAACAGGUCCAUGGGGUCGUUGUAUGGGAAGUGAAUGUGGUCCUGGAGGCAGCCAGAGUAGGGCAGUAUGGUGUGCUCAUUCUGAAGGUUGGACCACCCUGCAUACCAACUGUGACCAAGCAGAACGACCAGACAACCAGCAGAGCUGCUUCAGGGUGUGUGACUGGCACAAAGAGCUAUAUGACUGGCAGCUGGGUGCCUGGAACCAGUGUGUGCCAGUGAUGCGCAGUGCAAGGGUGCAGCGUCCUACUAUGUGCACUCAGGGAGAGGAAGGAAUUCAGACCCGUGAGGUGGGCUGUGUUCAAAAAGCAAAGGGUGAGCCUGCAGAAGAUGCAAUCUGUGAAUACUUUGAGCCCAAACCACGCCUAGAGCAGGCCUGUCUUAUCCCAUGUCCUCAGGACUGUGUGGUGUCUGAGUUUAGCCCAUGGACUCCCUGUUCUAAAACCUGCGGGAUAGGGUUACAGAACCGGAUUCGCUUUGUUCUGGCACCACCAUUGUUUGGUGGGGCAGCCUGCCCAAAUCUGACUGAAUUUCAGACAUGCCAGCUAGGUCCCUGUCAGGGAGAAGAGAGCCUUUACAGUCUCAGGGUGGGUCCCUGGGGCCCAUGCACUGUUCCACUGUCAAGGCAAACCAGACAGGCAGACAAACCACCAAGAGAGAGUGAAAAACAACCCAGGGAAAGUGAUAAACUUUCUAAUGAGGGAGACAAACUCUCCAAAGAGGGUGAAAAACCACCCAGAGGAGAUGGCAAACAGACCAGAGAGGGUGAAAAACAAUCAAAAGAAGGAGACAAACAGCCCAAAGAGGGCGAAAAUCCACUUAAAUCCAAAAGAAAACUGGGCAGGGGAAACAGGAAUAGGAAAUCAGAUAGGCCAUUGCGACUGGCUGAUCGGCCAAAACGACAGAAAAAAGCGAAAAACAAAGAAAAAAGAGAGAAAUUAAGAGAGAAAGUCCAAGAGAGGUUAAGGGAGAGGGGCAAAGCAAAGGAUCCUGAGACCAGAGAACUCAUCAAAAAGAAGAGGAACAAGAAUCGUCAGAACCGCCCGGGAGGAAAGUUCUGGGACCUGCAAAUCGGUUUUCAGACCAGAGAAGUGACCUGUGUGCAUAAGAGUGGGGCUGUCGAAGCUCUCAGUCUAUGCUCUCAGGAGACUUUGCCAGUGACCUUCCAGGCUUGUGUGAUAACCAAAGACUGUGAUGUGACUGAAUGGUCCAAAUGGUCUGCUUGCACCAAGGAGUGCUAUGACCCCACCAGUCCCAAGGCGGUGCGGACUCGCACUAGAAAAGUGACCCAGUUCCCUGUGGGUGGAGGAAUAGAUUGUCCAGAGUUGGAGGAGAAGGAACCCUGCACCCCCCAGAGUGACGUGGUACCACCCUGCAUUACGUACAGCUGGAAGACCACAGAAUGGACAGAGUGCAAGGUGGACUUGCUACUGAGCCAGCAGGACCGCCGACGUGGAAACCAUACAGGAAUGUGUGGAGGUGGUACUCAGACUAGGGAGGUGUACUGUGUGCAAGCCAGCACUGAUACACCAUCAAACCUUAGCCCUCUCAGGAUCAAAGAAGCACUGCGGCCAGUGGACAGUAAGCUCUGUCUGGGUAUUCCUCCAAACACCACCCAACUCUGCCACAUAAGCUGUCCUGUUGAUUGUGAGGUAUCUUCGUGGAGCAUGUGGGGACCCUGCACGUAUGAAAACUGUCAAGACCAGGUAGCCAAGAAAGGCUUUAAAGUGAGGAAGAGGACAAUCAUCAAUGAACCAACAGGUGGGACAGGAAACUGCCCCCACCUGGUGGAGGCCAUACCAUGUGAAGACCCGAACUGCUACGACUGGCUGGUGGUUAAACUGGAGGACUGUAUCCCAGAUAAUGAGGAGAAGUGUGGACCAGGAACCCAGAUCCCUCAAGUCCAGUGUGUCAAUAGUGAUGGUGAAUAUGUGGAUCGACAACUCUGCCAGGAUGCCAUCCUUCCUAUGCCAUUUAUCUGCGAGGUGCCUUGCCCUAAGGACUGUGCCUUGAGCCCCUGGAGCUCCUGGUCUCUCUGCUCCCAUACCUGCUCUGGAAAGAACACAGAGGGCAAGCAGACCAGAACUCGUUCCAUCCUCGCCUACAAUGCAGGAGAAGGUGGAGUCCCGUGUCCAAACAUCAGUGCUCUGCAGGAGGUGAGGAGAUGCAAUGACCAUCCCUGUACUGUCUACCACUGGCAAACUGGUCCAUGGGGACAAUGCAUCGAGGACUCUUUCAUUCCAUCAACCAACACGUCUGUGGGCCGUACUCGUGGAGAUGAUGUCUCCUGUUCAGUGGGGAUGCAAACCCGCAAAGUCAUCUGUGUCCGGGUGAAUGUGGGCCAGGUUCCUCCCAAAAAGUGUCCAGAGAGUGUUCGUCCAGACACUGUCAGGCCCUGUUUGCUGCCAUGCAAGAGAGACUGUAUUGUCACCCCAUACAGUGAUUGGAGCCCCUGUCCAUCAACGUGUCAGACAGGUGGUAACACUAAAAAGAAGCAAUACAGGAAACGGCUCAUCAUCCAGUUGCCAGCUAACGGAGGACAGGACUGUCCUGAGGUACUGACCCAGGAAAGAGAUUGUGAGACUCCCUCUGUCUGUGAGGGAUACAGAUGGAAAACUCAUAAGUGGCGAAGAUGUCAAUUGGUUCCAUGGUCUGUUCGGGAGGGCAGUCCUGGGAAUCAGGAGCUCUGUGGGCUAGGUCUGCAGGUUCGAGCUGUUUCAUGCCGAAAGCAGGAUGGUGGGCAAGCAGACAUUGAAGCUUGUCUUAAGUUUGCUAGCUCCAUGCCAUCUCUCACCCAACCCUGUCAGGUGCCCUGCCAGGAAGACUGUCAACUCAGCAGCUGGUCCAAGUUUUCUUCCUGUACAGCAGAUUGUGUGGGUGUCAGAACCCGCAAAAGGAUGCUAGUAGGGAGAAGUAGAAAGCAUGACCAGUGUAAAAACAACCAGCUGUAUCCCCUAAGUGAGACCCAGUACUGCCCAUGUAAUAAAUACAAUGCCCAGCCUGUAGGCAACUGGUCGGACUGUAUCCUAUCUGAGGGUGGUCGCAUGGAGGGUCAGCUUGGCAUGAAGGUACAAGGUGACAUCAAAGAGUGUGGCCAAGGGUACCGCUACCAAGCAAUGGUGUGCUAUGACCAAGACAACAGGAUAGUGGAGACUUCUCGAUGCAACAGCCACGGGUAUAUUGAGGAAGCCUGCAUCAUCCCUUGUCCAUCUGACUGCAAACUAAGUGAGUGGUCCAACUGGUCUCGCUGUAGCAAAUCAUGUGGCAGUGGGGUCAAAGUUCGCUCUAAAUGGCUCAGAGAAAAGCCAUACAAUGGUGGCAGACCUUGCCCUAAAUUGGACCAUGUCAAUCAGGCUCAAGUCUAUGAGGUGGUGCCUUGCCUCAGUGACUGUGGACAGUAUGUGUGGGUGGCAGAGCCUUGGAGUGUGUGGAAAGUCAGCAAUGUGGACCUGAAUGACAACUGUGGUGAAGGUGUUCAAACCCGAAACGUCAAGUGUAUGCUGAACACUAUAGACGGGCCCUCUGAACAGGUGGAGGACUACUUGUGUGACCCAGAGGAAAUGCCUUUGGGGGCCCGCAAGAGCCACCUGCCCUGCCCAGAAGACUGUGUGUUGUCAGACUGGGGAGCUUGGAGUCCAUGUCCACUGCCAUGUAGUGAGAACAGCACCCGGGAGAGGAGUGCUUACCCGCUCCGACAGCCAGGAGAAAAGAAGGAGUGUCCUCCCACUAAAGAGACAGAGCCAUGCAAACUCAACAGGAACUGCUUUCACUACACCUACAACAUCACUGAAUGGAGUACCUGUCAGCUCAGUGACAAAGCAGUGUGUGGAAAUGGAAUCAAAACCCGCAUGCUGGACUGUGUGCGUAGUGAUGGUAAAUCUGUAGACCUCAUCUUCUGCAAAGAGCUUGGUCUGGAGAGAAAGUGGCAAAUGAAUGCAUCCUGUGUUGUGGAGUGUCCUGUGAAUUGCCAGCUGUCUGACUGGUCACCAUGGUCUGACUGUAGUCACACAUGUGGACUGGCAGGCAAACUGUGGAGGAGACGGACAGUGAUCCAAGCUCCGCAGGGUGAUGGGAGGCCAUGUCCAUCCCAGAUGGAACAGUGGAAGCCCUGCCUGGUGAAGCCCUGCUACAGGUGGAGAUACAGCGCCUGGUCUGAGUGCAAAUCUGAGGGAGCGAGGUGUGGAGAAGGUCUGAGAUUCAGGAAUGUGUCGUGCUUUGUGUCAGAUGGUUCAGGUCGACAGGAUGGUAGUGUGGUGGACGAUGAACUGUGUGGAGAUUUGGAGCCCUCAGUAGAAGGAAACACACAAAUAGUUCUGCAGGAACCCUGUACUGUACCCUGUCCAGGAGAGUGCUACUUGACAGACUGGACUGUUUGGAGUUCAUGCCAGCUAAGCUGCAUAAAUGGGGUUGACCUGAGCUUUGGUUCAGUCCAAGUUCGAUCUAGAGCUGUGGUGGCCCAGGAUCCUGAGAACUUGCUGCAGUGUCCAGAACAAGAGCUUGAAGCACGACCAUGUACAGACGGUGAAUGUUUUGAUUACAAGUGGAAAAGUGGACCAUGGAGAGGCUCGUCUCGGCACGUCUGGUGUGAGCGUUCAGAUGGUCUCAAUGUCACAGGUGGAUGCCUUACAACAGCCAAACCAAAGGCAGACCGAUCGUGUAACCCACCAUGCACCAAGCCACAGUCCCUGUGCACAGAGGUGGGUGUGUGUGGCUGUGAAGAUGGCUACACUGAAGUAAUGACAUCUGAUGGCUUGCUGGACCAGUGCACUGUCAUUCCAGUGCUAGAGAUCCCCACUGCAGGUGACAACAAGGCUGAUGUUAAGACGAUCCGAGCCUUCAACCCCACUCAGCCUGCAGCCAGCUCACCAGGCAGGGCAGGACGCACCUGGUUCCUGCAGCCCUUUGGUCCAGAUGGGAAGAUGAAAACCUGGGUGUAUGGAGUAGCAGCAGGAGCAUUUGUGCUGCUUGUCUUUAUAAUCUCCAUGACAUACUUAGCAUGUUGUUGUGGUUGUUGCCUUUGCUGCAAGUCAAGCUCCAAGUCCCCCUCAGACAGGAUUUAUUGGAUGGAGCAAAACAGCUGCACAGUGCCUUAUACCUGUCCUGCCUGCCAGAAACUAAAGCAAGAGGAGUUAAAGUGGUGCAACAAACAGCAACCGCAGCUGCAGGAAAAACAACAGCAAUAUGAGGCACAGCUCUCAAAGCCUCCAUCAUCACAACAACAUCCAGAGCUGCAGCACUCACUGCCACACCCAGCAUCACCCUUUGAAACUCUUAUCACGUAGUCAAGGCCUUCCUUAACUCCUUUAAUUCUCUACGUGACAUGUUCCCAAACAUCCAGAUUGCUUGUUCAAUCAUUUCAGUGGAUCACCUACUAGAGCAAAAAGCCAAAGAAGCCACAGAGACGUCAGAUGAACAACAGACUGAAGCCUUUGACUCUGGCUUACGAUGGAGAUGCAGACAUGUAGAAGUCUUCCUGCUCAACGCACAAACAUUUGUCUUCUUUCAGAACUUACGGCAUCGCCGUGGAAACCCUUUGAUAUCAAUGCUGAGAAUCAUUCACAUGCAAAAGAAGAACCUCAAAGAUCAAGACUGACCACAUUCAUUAGCAGCCUUGUUUUCCCCAUCUGUUUUUAAAUGUUCAUUUUGGCAUUUAUUUCACAAGAGCCUUCAUGGAUUCUUUGUUUCCUGCUGAAAGUCCUCCUUUGUUUCUUUGCCAUCUACCACUGCCCGAAAUAUUCAAACAACAGUCACUGAAUAGUGUCUCCCUAGAACAAAUACUGCUGUGAAAAUCAUUCCCUCAUUUUUUUUCACUGCUCAGUGACAUUGCCUUGAUAUCAUUUGUUCUGUGUCAAAUGAACAUUCAGAGCCCUCAGUGUCAUUAUGGCUUCAGUCCAUCUCAUAAGAAAAAUAUGACGAGGAGACAAAAAGGAGCUUAAUAAAUCCCAGAGACAGCAUCACUUCUGCCUGCCUGUCCCUUCUCCAUUUUUCAGGGAUAAUUUUGCACUAUAUUAGUGCAGCAUGAUAUGUACUUAGGUCUAGGUAUGCCUGUCUCAAUACAGAUGUUGUAGAAAUGUACAGAAGUAGGCUUUUUUUGCAAACAAAAACUCACCAAUGUUUGUAAUUAAUUUUCUUCUAUUGCCUCUUUUUACAUGAUUUGAUGGGACUUUGUGUAAAUAGGAUUUUUUUUAAUGUGGUCUCAACUUUAUCUUUCUAUUAUGUCUAGCUAAAUGUUCCAAACUCUGCCAGUUAAUCUCUGACAUUUUUUUUUUACUAAUUGUAACAACCUUUUCAAUUUCAAUUUAAUUUAUAUAGUGCCAAAUCACAGCAUCAAGGCGCUAAGACCCUAUAAUCAAACCGACCCCCUUUGAACAAGCACUUGGUGACAGUGGGAAGGAAAAACUCCCUUUUAACAGGAAGAAACCUCUGACAGAACAGGCUCAGGGAGGGGCGGGGCCAUAUUUCGUGACCAGUUGGGGGUUGGGUGAUUUUAUCUUUGUAAAUACCUUAUACACAUUAAAAUCUCCUCUGGAAAAUUCAAACAUCAUGAAAGCCUUUAGAUUAUUACAGGGAAAGAACAAAGAAAAAGUCUUUAAAAACUAAACAUGGAAGAUAAGUUCAUCAUCACAUUGUUUCUUUGAUCUCCAAGAACUCUCAAUUGAGUCCAUCUAAGAAAUAUUACAUUUCACACCAAAUUUUUGACUUUAGUGCUGUUUUUUUUUUUUUAUUCAUUAUUUAAAAUAAUGGCUUUACCAGUGUCUGCUAAGUUUGGACCACUUGUUAUUUACUUACAAUCAGCUACAAGUGUACAUCUUUAAGCUUAGUUCUGCACCAGUUAUGUGGUGAAUUUCGGAAUCUCUCAGCCGGCCAACUGGUAUUGGCUUCUUUCUGAUAUGUAGCUUAAAAAUAUAAUUUUUCCUCAAAAAUAAUGCAUUGGAAUUUUUUUUUCUGUGGUUCUUCCCUUUAAAUCUUCUGUAUACCUUUGAUUUUUGACUCAUUUUGAAUUUGACCUCUGCCAGCUGAUAUUGCCUCUCCAGUGUAAUGUUCAUUGUCCAUCAUUUUAUGGAGUCUUCAGCAAUGCAUUUCUCUUAUUGAAAAGUAAUUGGUGUUUCAGCCCUUGAACUUUCUGUAUCAGAGGAUGAUGUCAGAACUUUUCCAGCUUUUCUAUUCAUUUCAGUUACUUUAGGAAGAAUAAUUGUGUAGGAAUGUUUUAAAGUGAAAAUGGCUGAAGUAAGCUGAAGGUCCAGUCGCUCAGAAUGGAUAGUGUUGUAUUUAUUAGUACUGAGACAUUGCCGGAAAAUGGCAGUUUAAUAUUCUGUGGAGUUUGUUUAGUAGUAAAUCAGUGGAAUGUUUAAUUUAUAUUUCUUGGAAAAUGAUUUGUAAAUAAAAUUCUUUUUUUUAAAAAAAAAAAAGAAAAGAAACAAACUUGGAAGUGUGAAUGUGGGUGGGCUAAACAUGAUAAGCUUGUGACAAAUAAGUCAAGUUUUCCUACUAUUUGUUUGUAUGUAUUUGACUAAUUGCUGAUAAUAAACAAUG